UACGUAGGUGGCGAGCGUUAUCCGGAAUUACUGGGUGUAAAGGGUGUGUAGGCGGGUCGGCAAGUCAGGCGUGAAAUGAGAAGGCUCAACCUUCUAACUGCGCUUGAAACUGUCGAUCUUGAGAGUGGGAGAGGUAAACGGAAUUCCUGGUGUAGUAGUGAAAUGCGUAGAUAUCAGGAGGAACACCGGUGGCGAAGGCGGUUUACUGGACCACAACUGACGCUGAGACACGAAAGCGUGGGGAG
rnacentral:rRNA from 1 species